GGGCAAGCCUAUACUGCAGUCGAGCGAGCUUGCCUAGAUGAUUUUAGUGCUUGCACUAAAUGAAACUAGAUACAAGCGAGCGGCGGACGGGUGAGUAACACGUGGGUAACCUGCCCAAGAGACUGGGAUAACACCUGGAAACAGAUGCUAAUACCGGAUAACAACACUAGACGCAUGUCUAGAGUUUGAAAGAUGGUUCUGCUAUCACUCUUGGAUGGACCUGCGGUGCAUUAGCUAGUUGGUAAGGUAACGGCUUACCAAGGCAAUGAUGCAUAGCCGGGUUGAGAGACUGAUCGGCCACAUUGGGACUGAGACACGGCCCAAACUCCUACGGGAGGCAGCAGUAGGGAAUCUUCCACAAUGGACGAAAGUCUGAUGGAGCAACGCCGCGUGAGUGAAGAAGGGUUUCGGCUCGUAAAGCUCUGUUGGUAGUGAAGAAAGAUAGAGGUAGUAACUGGCCUUUAUUUGACGGUAAUUACUUAGAAAGUCACGGCUAACUACGUGCCAGCAGCCGCGGUAAUACGUAGGUGGCAAGCGUUGUCCGGAUUUAUUGGGCGUAAAGCGAGUGCAGGCGGUUCAAUAAGUCUGAUGUGAAAGCCUUCGGCUCAACCGGAGAAUUGCAUCAGAAACUGUUGAACUUGAGUGCAGAAGAGGAGAGUGGAACUCCAUGUGUAGCGGUGGAAUGCGUAGAUAUAUGGAAGAACACCAGUGGCGAAGGCGGCUCUCUGGUCUGCAACUGACGCUGAGGCUCGAAAGCAUGGGUAGCGAACAGGAUUAGAUACCCUGGUAGUCCAUGCCGU
rnacentral:rRNA from 1 species